GUCUAUGGCCAUGCUACCCUGAACAAGCCCGAUCCUGUCUGAUCUCAGAAGCUAAGCAGGGUUGGGCCUGGCUAGUACUUGGAUGGAAGACCGCUUAGGAAGACCAGGUGCUGUAGGCG
rnacentral:rRNA from 1 species